UGUGUAUUGUCUUUUCUAUGUUGGUCGCUACUCGUUUGUAUGUAUUUUUAGAGCCCUGACAGGCUGAUGAAGGAUGACUGAAGUCUUCUGAAAGCUAUCAUUACUAAGAAAUGAAGCUGGUGUUAUGAACAGUGAACAGUGUCCCAAAAUUUUAUUUCAGAGUGAAAAAUUGUUCUUGAAAAUUGGAGAUGAAAGUGGAAAAUUGAUUUCAGUUGGAUGUCACUUCCCACCCAAAACUGGCAAAUUUUGGGACAUUGGUUUUGAACAAACUUAACAAUACAAUACCACUGUCCCAGGCUCCAGCUGAAUAACAUCAACAUAUAACAUAAUACUUUGUGACAAGACAUGCACUACUACAUAUGCUGUGCCUGGCUCAAGAUUCCUAUAUGUAGCAAGGUUGCCCUACCGACACUGGCAAAAUGAAUGCUUCCUUGAACAAAGCUAACCAAAGGUGCCAUCAACUGUCUUAAUCUGAAUAGGAAGGAAGCCUAGUUUUCAACAUAGACAAUGUGACUUUCAGGGUGUGCACCACCCGGUGUUCAUUUGUUAACAUCAAUAAUGUGUGACCACGAAAGGAAACCCUUCUGAAGAUCGAAGAUCUUGCUCGCAGCUAUGCCUCAUUGCCUACCAUGGCCAAAACCUCUUUGAGGUUUACUGUAGGUAGUGUUCUCCGUCUGAUUGUUAUGUGUUGAGGAUGAGCUGAAUGUUACUGAUAUUGAUACCUGAUAUCUAAUUGUGGUCAAUGUUUAGUGUAACACCGUGACAUCUUCCAAUGCCAAAGUUUAUUUCCAACGAGCCAAAGCUUGUUUGCAUUGCAAUUACGAGCGGUAGUGUGAUGUGUGGAACGUGUAGUAUGUACGAUUGGGAACCACUUACUCUGGUGGCAUGUUUGCAUAUAUGAGAAUGUUCAGUGUUCAUCGUCUUUAGAUAAUAAAAGCAUUGGCAUAUCA